rnacentral:rRNA from 1 species
AGUCACUGACAUUAGAUACCCGUGUAGUCCAGGGUGUAAACGCUGCAGACUUGGUGUUGGAAGCCCUUUGGGGGCAUUCAGUGCCGGAGAGAAGUUGUUAAGUCUGCUACUUGGGGAGUACGUCCGCAAGGAUGAAACUUAAAGGAAUUGGCGGGGGAGCACCGCGACGGGAGGAGCGUGCGGUUUAAUUGGAUUCAACACCGUAAAACUCACCAGGGAAGACUGUUACAUGAAGGCCGAGAUGAAGACUCUGCUAGAUUUUCAG